UACGUAGGGUGCGAGCGUUGUCCGGAAUUAUUGGGCGUAAAGGGCUCGUAGGCGGUUUGUCACGUCAGGAGUGAAAACUCGGGGCUCAACCCCGAGCCUGCUUCUGAUACGGGCAGACUGGAGGUAUGCAGGGGAGAACGGAAUUCCUGUUGUAGCGGUGAAAUGCGCAGAUAUCAGGAGGAACACCGAUGGCGAAGGCAGGUCUCUGGGCAUUAACUGACGCUGAGGAGCGAAAGCAUGGGGAGCGAACAGG
rnacentral:rRNA from 1 species